UCCAAUGGUGGAAUUGUUCAAGAAAUGGCACACAUUGCUAAUGGUCGCAACACUGGAAAUUGCGUGUCUCUACUGCGAGUAAAUAGUGCGAAUUCAAGCCAGAGCAACAUGCUGAUACUGCAAGAGAGCUGCAUAGACAAAACAACUUCUUUUGUGAUUUAUGCUCCAGUGGACAUUGUUGCCAUGAAUGUGGUACUAAUUGGGAGUGACCCUGACUAUGUUGCUCUUCUUCCUUCUGGCUUUGCCAUCCUUC